CAGUCGCCACGGGAACACAGAGGGUGCAAGCGUUAAUCGGAAUUACUGGGCGUAAAGCGCGCGUAGGUGGUUUGUUAAGUUGGAUGUGAAAGCCCCGGGCUCAACCUGGGAACUGCAUCCAAAACUGGCAAGCUAGAGUACGGUAGAGGGUGGUGGAAUUUCCUGUGUAGCGGUGAAAUGCGUAGAUAUAGGAAGGAACACCAGUGGCGAAGGCGACAACCUGGACUGAUACUGACACUGAGGUGCGAAAGCGUGGGGAGCAAACAGGAUUAGAUACCCGUGUAGUCCCUGUCUCUUAUAC
rnacentral:rRNA from 1 species